UGACGAGUGGCGGACGGGUGAGUAAUGCUUGGGAACUUGCCUUUGCGAGGGGGAUAACAGUUGGAAACGACUGCUAAUACCGCAUAAUGUCUUCGGACCAAACGGGGCUUCGGCUCCGGCGCAAAGAGAGGCCCAAGUGAGAUUAGCUAGUUGGUAAGGUAACGGCUUACCAAGGCGACGAUCUCUAGCUGUUCUGAGAGGAAGAUCAGCCACACUGGGACUGAGACACGGCCCAGACUCCUACGGGAGGCAGCAGUGGGGAAUAUUGCACAAUGGGGGAAACCCUGAUGCAGCCAUGCCGCGUGGGUGAAGAAGGCCUUCGGGUUGUAAAGCACUUUCAGUUGUGAGGAAAAGUUAGUAGUUAAUACCUGCUAGCCGUGACGUUAACAACAGAAGAAGCACCGGCUAACUCCGUGCCAGCAGCCGCGGUAAUACGGAGGGUGCGAGCGUUAAUCGGAAUUACUGGGCGUAAAGCGCACGCAGGCGGUUUGUUAAGCUAGAUGUGAAAGCCCCGGGCUCAACCUGGGAUGGUCAUUUAGAACUGGCAGACUAGAGUCUUGGAGAGGGGAGUGGAAUUCCAGGUGUAGCGGUGAAAUGCGUAGAUAUCUGGAGGAACAUCAGUGGCGAAGGCGACUCCCUGGCCAAAGACUGACGCUCAUGUGCGAAAGUGUGGGUAGCGAACAGGAUUAGAUACCCUGGUAGUCCACACCGUAAACGCUGUCUACUAGCUGUGUGUGUCUUUAAGACGUGCGUAGCGAAGCUAACGCGCUAAGUAGACCGCCUGGGGGAGUAC
rnacentral:rRNA from 1 species